AACGUAGGAGACAAACGUUAUCCGGAGUUACUGGGCGUAAAGGGCGUGUAGGUGGUUCUGUAAGUCUGGCGUGAAAUUUCUCGGCUUAACCGAGGCAGGUCGUCGGAUACUGCAGGGCUAGGAGGACGGUAGAGGCGUGUGGAAUUCCGGGUGUAGUGGUGAAAUGGCGUAGAGAUCCGGAGGAACACCAGUGGCGAAGGCGGACGACCUGGGCCA
rnacentral:rRNA from 1 species